GUGCGCGGGAGCGGCCGUUGGGAGCCGGCGGUUGCAGGCACGGCUCUCCUUAGCGAAGCGCCGCUCCCGGCAGCCCGGGCCGCCCCGCAGGAAAGCGCGGCGGCAACCGGAGCUGUCCGGGCAGCACCGGGCGGGAAGCCGCGGCUCAACGGGAGCGAGUGCCGAGGACAGCUCCGCCGGAGCAGUAGAGUGUUUCAGAAGAGAGAAAAAGAUGGUGGCCAUGAACUGGCUUUCUGUGGCUGGUAAAGCUGUGCUGAGAACUGGGCUGACUAUUGCAACUGAAAAUGCGUGCCAAGUCUGCAGACGCAGAGGAAUAACUAUUCCGUGUUGGUUGAGCUUGUCUAAGCACGGAGAGAUUUCAGAUGCUGUUUGGUAAUGGAAGAUGGAGAGAGGAAAAGCAAGUAAAAGGCACGCUGUGCAUAGCCAGCGCAUCCCAUUUGUACCGCUGUCCCCCUGCACAAAGGAGAGGAGCAUCUCAGCAAGCUUGGCCUGGGCCAUGGAAGGGAUCAUACAAACAUCUGGACCAACGUGACAGGAGUUAGUUCUGCAGCUGUCGCAACGCUUUGAUCCCCUGCUGCUGGGCUGGGGCGUUUGAGGAAUGAUGCAUGUGCUGAUGUCCACCAGGCUUUGGGGAUGAGUCUGCGUAGCAGGGUAUGUGUGGCAGGACUGAGGCUUGGGGAGCAGGCCAGGUGGAAUCCAGUGUGCUUUGCUGUCGUUCUCAGUGCUUGUUUUUGCUCAGGAGGGCAGGUGGUGAAGCUCAUGAAGCAAUGCCUGCAGAUGGGGUUUGCAGAGCAAGAGGUCCGUCCUGCAGGCCUUGUGUGACACGCAUGGAGCUGUAGCGAGGCUGCAUCAGUGUAAAACAGCAGAAAUGCACGGAGGUGUGAAGGAAUCUCUGUGUGUUUUUUAGUGAAGAACAAACUCUGUGUUCAGUUGUGAAUGAAUGAAUUCAGGCCUGCUAGUUGGUGUUCUUCUCUACACGGAGCCGCAAUUGAAAUGGACGCUCCUGGUGUGAUGUGCGGCCCCGCCCCGUGUUCUCAGAUCCGCCAAGUUGGCAAGGCCUGGCUCUUGGUUGGUGAGCUGUGCCCAGGGUGAGAGACUUGACUCUUGUGGGCUUUGAGACAUGUCUUCGAGUUGCACGUUGUGUUAUUUCUGUUGGGUUGACCUCUUGAGCUCCAGCCCUAAGCGAGGAUCCAAGCAGUAGCGCAGAAGGAAUGGUUUAGACUGGAAGUGCAAUGCCAAGGGCUGGAGCCAGCCGGAGCUGGGAAGUGAUCAUCUCCCCGUACUCAGCACUGGUGAGUCCUCACCUUGAGUAGUGUGUUUGGUUCUGGGCCCCUCACUACAAGGGGGCCCCUGAAAGCCUGAAGUGUGUCCAGAGAAGAGCAAUGAAGCUGUGAGGGUUGUAGAGCACAAGUCUGAUGGGGAGCGGCUGAGGGAAGUGGGAUUCGUUAGUGUGGAGAAGAGGAGGCUGAGGGAAGACCACCUCACUCUGUCCAAUGACGUGACGAGUGGUUAUGUGGAGGUGGGGGUGGUCCUCUUCUCGCAUGGAACUAGUGCUAGAACUAGAGGGAAUGGCCUCGAGUUACAUGAGGGGAGAUUGAGGUUGGAUGUGAAGAAAAGCUUCUCCCAGUGAGCGGUCAGACGCUGGAAGGGGCUGCCCAGGGAGGUGAUAGAGCUACUGUCCCUGUGGGUGUUCAAGGAACAUUGGAUGUUGUAGUGAGGGACGUGUCUUAGUGGGAAGGAAAUAUUGGUGGUAGGUGAGUGGUUGGACUGGAUGAUCUUGGAGGUCUUUUCCAACCUUGCUGAUGCUGUGACUGUUGGAAAGGCAUGUGCUGGGUGAGUGCUUUGCUGGGUGAGCAUCCCCCUGCUGGAAAGCAGGCAGCUGUUGUCUUUGCAGACAGCCAGAUCCAUGGGGAUUGGAAGCCUUUGGAACCUGAACCUUGUCUUUCCCGUCUCAUGCCCAACAACUCAUGUUGUUUGAAAGCAGCACCUUAGAGGCAACCUUGAUUUCUCCAGCCUUCUCCGAGCUUUCCUAGAAUCCUAGAAUCGCUAAGGCUGGAAGAGACCCACAGGAUCAUCCAGUCCAACCGUUCGCCCUUCACCAAUGGUUCCCGCUAAACCAUGUCCCUCAACACAACAUCCAAACGCUCUUUGAACACCACCAGGGUCGAUGACUCCACCACCUCCCUGGGCAGCCCAUUCCAGUGCCGGACCACCCUUUCAGACAAGUAGUAUUUCCUAAAGUCCAGCCUGAAUCUUCCCUGGCUCAGCUUGAAGCCAUUCCCUCUAGUCCUAUCACUAGUCACCUGAGAGAAGAGGCUGCCCCCCAGCUCACUGCAACCUCCCUUCAGGUAGUUAUAGAGAGCAAUAAGGUCUCCCCUGAGCCUCCUCUUCUCCAGACUGAACAAUCCCAGCUCCUUCAGCCACUCCUCAUCAGGCCUGUGCUCCAGAGCCCUCACCAGCUUUGUUGCCCUCCUCUGGACACGCUCCAGGGCCUCGAUGUCUUUCUUACAGUGAGGGGCCCAAAACUGGGCACAGUACUCGAGGUGGGGCCUCACCAGUGCUGAGUACAGGGGGACAAUCGCGUCCCUAUUCCUGCUGGCCACACUAGUUCUGAUACAAGCCCGGAUGCCGUUGGCCUUCUUGGCCGCCUGGGCACACUGCUGGCAGUGUUCAGUCUAGCGUCAAUCAACGCCCCCAGGUCCAUUUCCUCUACACAGUCUUUCAGGCACUCUGCCCCAAGCCUGUAGCGUUGCCUGGGGUUAUUGCGGCCAAAGUGCACUCUGUGCCACGAGAGCUCUCCCGCUUCUACCUGCGAUGUGAGACCGUAUGGAAAGCCCUGCAGAUGCCUGGGUAGGUGAUGUCCGUUGCUCUUCCUUUCCCCACCAGUGCUGGACAUAGUGGGGAACGGGACUGGGGGACAUCCCAGCAGCGGGUUCCUACCUCAGCCAAACUGAAGGGCUGUUCUGAUCCGUGUAUUUGAACUGGAGUGAAUCUGAUGCCAAUUAGAGAAAUGAGGGCCUGUGGAAAAAAAGGAGUGUGCUGCAUUUUGUGGUGCAAGAUGUUCUGGGCACUGCUGCUAACAAUGCCCGGAGGCUUCCUUUUUGAUGGGGAGAGGCUUAGCAAGGACUUCUUCCAUGAAAGGGGUUCAUCAUCUAUUUCCUUGUCAUUGACCUUUCCUACUACUGCUUGAGAAAUUAAUGUUUCUUGCUGUAGGGAAUACACAUGCACCCUGCACUUGUAUCUGCACAAAGAAUCUUCUAAGCAUCUCUGUACGUGUUUCUUUUUGGCACUGGGAUGGAGCUGUGUGGAAGACAGACUUGGAUGAACCUUCAGUCAGGUGCAGGGAUGCGUAAUGCUCAUCUAAGAUGUCACGCUGACAGCAGCAGUAGAGAGGCAAAUUUCAUAGCUUUUUUUUUUUUCAUGCUUUUUUUUUUCUUCUUUUG